rnacentral:misc_RNA from 1 species
GUGAAUCAUCGAAUCUUUGAACGCAAAUUGCACUUUCUGGUAUUCCGGAAAGUAUGCCUGUUUGAGGGUCAGUUAAAUAAACAUCGUUUUGGUUGCUGCUGGGCGUGGUUACGCUUCGGAAUUGACCUGUUUUACCUUCUGUUAAGUGACUUAAUAUUUUGGAUGAUUUUCGAACGUAUUUAAAUUUCUUACGUACGUUUGAGAUACCGAAUACUUUAUUAGUUUCUGUCAUUC